rnacentral:lncRNA from 9 species
ACCCAGACGGCAGCACGAGCCAUGUCUCACCUUGGGAUCUCUCCUGCCACCACCGCCAGAGGAGGGGUCUCGGCCCCACGCAGCCUGGCCCGGCCUUCGGCUUCCACCCUACAAGGGACCCAAGAGACAAGGUGACACCCACAGUGAGACGCCAUCGACUGGGCUCCUCGGGCGGUCGGCGCUGCCCCGUUGGGCUCGAGGAUGGAAAGGCAGGAAGAGAAAGGCCCCGUUUCCUUGCGAGUGGACCUCAGAGUUCCAGACACACAUUAUUCAUCAUCGAUGCCUCAUACGCUGGCAUAGAUCAUCAUCGAUCCAGAAAAGGGGGACCUUCUCUUCCUUCGCCAUGGCCCGUGGAGUCAGGCAUUCCUCCCCGCACGGCCACUGGGCAACCCAAGGGGCCCGCCCCACCCAACGAGGCCUCGCCAUCCCUCGGGGGGGCCUCUAGGACCCGUCCCCUGGCUUUCGGUCUCUCUGGGCCGCGGAGGACCAGCUGGGCCCCUGUGCAGGACGUCCAAGAGACCUUCCUAGCCAGAGCUGUCCCAUCCCUGGGACGCCAGAGCCCUUCUGGACUGCUGGCCUCGCCCGCAUCUGCCGCCCACCCUCCACCAGCCCCUCGCACUGCCCUGCCCAGCCCAGCCCCGACAAGCCCUGGGAUGCUGCUCACACUGGCCUUCUGGAUCCAGAGACAACGCUGCCAUCCUCGCCUGCUCAUCCAGGAAGGAGCCUG